rnacentral:rRNA from 1 species
CCGAUGAAUGUGUGAUCAUUAAUUGACCAGUGUGAACUGUCCAACAAAUCUUUAGGGGUCGGCACAGGUAGAAGUGGUCGUUAAAUGGUGGAUAUUCCUUCCAGCAGCCCCGCCAUUGUGUGUUACUAUGCAUAUUGAACGUAAAAGACUGAGAGAACGUAUCUUCAUGAUCACCAUGAAAGGAAAAACUUUUAAAGAAAGAGACAAACAACUUUUGACGGUGGAUCUCUUGGCUCACGUAUCGAUGAAGAACGCAGCCAGCUGCGAUAUGUAGUGUGAAUUGCAGAAUUCAGUGAAUCAUUGAAUCUUUGAACGCAAAUGGCGCUCUUGGGUUCUCCCAGGAGCAUGUCUGUCUGAGUGUCGGAUUCUAUCGAACGCACACUCACUCGUGAGUGUGCGGUAUUGAGGUGUCACGGCGUGAAGAAUCAGUGUAUUAAUGAUCGCCGUGUCCCUUGAAGAGCAGCAGCAGCAGCAGCAGCAUUCUCUAUUGAAACUUGAGUGCGAAGGCUAAAGAUAUUGCUAUUUUCCUUCGCUCCAGGUUGGUUUAGGGUUGUUGGGUUGCUGAAACAGAGAAAGAAAGAAAGAAAUCCAAUCAAUCUUGACCUCAGAUCAGGCAAGGCUACCCGCUGAAUUUAA